rfam:Staphylococcus phage PH15, complete genome.
GAGCACAGUGUUAAAUCUAGCACCUUUGAUGAGUAAUCAUCAUAGCAAACUCCUCUAAUUCAUGGAAACCCUAAACAAGUUAUGUUGUAGGCAAUCAUGAGCGAAGCCUAUAAAUAGGAACGUGCAACGACUAGUCGAAAGACGUACACUCAAGCGAGUGGAAACGGGGAGCAACCUAAAUGGUUGAUGAUAUAGUCUGAACAUUCAUAGAAAUAUGAAG